rnacentral:misc_RNA from 1 species
CUCCCUCCUCUCCGUUGCCGCUGGUAAUACAGGCUCUAGAUUUUUACUAUCUUUUAUGGUUUUGCUUCUCUUAGAAUAACUACGCAACUUCAUUAAGCUUAGAAGUUAUAUCAAAUACUGUUUCAGUAAAUUCUGAUCCUAUUGUUGUUUUUCUGAUUCUUUAUUUGAAGAAAGACUAGCAUAGAACUUUUGAUACAUUGUCAAUAGUAUUUUUGUAUGUGAUAUAAGGGGCCUCAUAUUUGUUUCCGUGGACUGUGCGUUUACAUCUGAGAAAUCAUAUGCGAAAUGAAAAUAACUCUUUUCGAGGAAAUUGGAGAAAAAUUAGUGAGAAAUCACUGCGAGGCUCAUAAUUCUGAUAUUUGUUCUUUUACUGAUAGAAUUUUGAAAAACCUGUGCUUUAUUGAAGCUCAAAAUGAUCCAAUUUAGUUGAGCCGGAUUUUUUUUUUGGCUGAAAUUUUUUAUGAAUUUUAGACUACAUAUAUUUCAAGAUCACCAAGUCUCAGCAACCGAGCAAAGCUGAUGUGUGAUAUAAAGGAGCCGCAUUUUUGUAUUUUCAUUUUUGCUUGAUCCAACUUUAUUUGAUAUUCAUAGGAGGUGAAAAUCAAGG